AUGGAUUUUCAAAAUGUAGACCAUAUAUUAAAUAGAUUUUUGGAAUAGGGAGAUGGAAUAGGGGCUUGCUCCGUCCACUCCACGCAUCGACCUGGUAUUGCAGUACCUCCAGGAACGGUGCACCCCCU
ensembl:snRNA U2 U2 spliceosomal RNA